rnacentral:rRNA from 1 species
GACCCCAGGUCAGGCGGGGUUACCCGCUGAAUUUAAGCAUAUCAAUAA